GCCAGGUGCAUCUAUAGUGACAAGUCAGGAAUGAGGUCAAGGCAGAGAUUCAAGCUGUUAAUGCCAAAAUAAUGACAGUUACAAGGAAAUACUGGUUGUUACCUGUGAUUUCAGGUCUAUGGGUGUGAGAAGGGUUAAGGCUCAACAGACAGAAGCAAAUCAAACAUAUGGGAAGAAUCACAGCUAGUGUAAGUCAGGGCCUGU